AUCCAGAAUGAGGACUGGGGAGGUUUACCUAAUGAGGAGAUCUUAUAGCAGACUGGAGUACUUCCCCUUUACACCAGGUCCUGCUGGCCCCGUCAUGAGUACUUUAAUGUGCCUGUGUACUAAACGUCCACAACUGCUGUCACCACUCCACUGCUGUCCUGUCCACUCUGCAUGCGGAGCCCCUCCCCCAGCACAUGGUCCCUCCAGCACCUGGCUCCUCAUCCUCAGCCCCCUAAAGCGCCAUGCUUUACCAACUGAUCCACACAGGACUACGGCUACAUCGUCAAAGGUCAUUGGUCUACAUUUUCAGUUUCUCACAUACUUCCAUCAGCUGAUUCCACUGUUUGUUGUCUAUCUGAAGAGGCCAUGGUUUACUGUGUAUAAUACAACGGGUGGGUCUAAUCCUGAAUGCUGAUUGGUUAAAUCUGCAUUCCAGCCGGUCUGUUCCACAAGUGACUACCGGCAAAAUCUAUGCCGUUAAAAUGCCCAUUUACUCUGUUCCAUCUGACUGCACAUUCCACUGUCUCAUCAGCCCAGCUCAUAUUUCUUUUAGACUAACAUUUAGUUUUAACAGUGGAGAUUUGUAUAAACAUUGCUGUCUGUCUCUCAGACAUUUGCAACAUUGUUUCAAUUCAAAUUCAAUCUCCAGCUGUCCCAUAGUAAUGAACAUAGUAAUGAACGGGUGUCGGGAUGAGACAGACAGGCAGGCAGCUUUUCUCAGCCAGUCAAAAUCAUGAAACAGCAUAAUUUUUAUGGAUACAGUUUAAGUCUGAAGUUUACAUACAGUUAGGUUGGAGUCAUUAAAACUCAUUUUUCGACAUUACUUUGUGCAUGACACAAGUAAUUUUUCCAACAAUUGUUUACAGACAGAUUAAUUCACUGUAUCACAAUUCCAGCGGGUCAGAAGUUUACAUACACUAAGUUGACUGUGCCUUUAAACAGCUUGGAAAAUUGCUGAAAAUGAUGCCAUGGCUUUAGAAGCUUCUGAUAGGCUAAUUGACAUAAUUUGAGUCAAUUGGAGGUGUACCUGUGGAUGUAUUUCAAGGCCUACCUUCAAACUCAGUGCCUCUUUGCUUGACAUCAUGGGGAAAAUCUAAAGAAAUCAGCCAAGACCUUAGAAAGUCAUCCUUGGGAGCACUUUCCAAACACCUGAAGCUACCACGUUCAUCUGUACAAACAAUAGUAUGCAAGUAUAAACACCAUGGGACCACGUAGCCACCAUACCGCUCAGGAAGGAGACACGUUCUGUCUCCUAGAGAUGAACGUACUUUGGUGCGAAAAGUGCAAAUCAAUCCCAGAACAACAGCAAAGGACCUUGUGAAGAUGCUGGAUGAAACAGGCACAAAAGUAUCUAUAUCCACAGUAAAAUGAGUUCUAUAUCGACAUAACCUGAAAGGGCGCUCAGCAAGGAAGAAGCCACUGCUCCAAAACCGCUAUAAAAAAGCCAGACUACGGUUUGCAACUGCACAUGGGGUCAAAGAUCAUACUUUUUGGAGAAAUGUCCUCUGGUCUGAUAGAACUGUUUGGCCAUCGAUAUGUUUGGAGGAAAAAAGGGGAGGUUUGCAAGCCGAAGAACACCAUCCCAACCGUGAAGCACAGUGGUGACAGCAUCAUGUUGUGGGGGUGCUUUGCUGCAGGACGGACUGGUGCCCUUCACAAAAUAGAUGGCAUCAUGAGGAUGGAAAAUGAUGUAGAUAUAUUAAAGCAACAUCAAGACAUCAGUCAGGAAGUUAAAGCUUGGUCACAAAUGGGUCUUCCAAGUGGACAAUGACCCCAAGCAUACUUCCAAAGUUUGGCAAAAUGGCUUAAGGACAACAAAGUCAAGAUAUUGGAGUGGCCAACACAAAGCCCUGACCUCAAUCCUAUAGAAAAUGUGUGGGCAGAACUGUGCGAGCAAGGAGGCCUACAAACCUGACUCGGUUACACCAGCUCUGUCAGGAGGAAUGGGCCAAAAUUCACCCAACUUAUUGUGGGAAGCUUGUGGAAGGCUACCCAAAACGUUUGACCCAAGUUAAAAUUUAAAGGCAAGGCUACCAAAUACUAAUUGAGUGUAUGUGAGCUUCUGACCCACUGGGAAUGUGAUGAAAUAAAUAAAAGCUCAAAUAAGUCAAUCUCUACUCUUAUUCUGACAUUUCACAUUCUUAAAAUAAAGUGGUGAUCCUAACUGGACUAAGACAGGGAAUUUUUACUAGGAUUAAAUGUCAGGAAUUGUGAAAAGGUGAGUUUAAAUGUAUUUGCUAAGGUGUAUAUACAUUUCCGACUUCAACUGUAUAUACAAAGAACUAUCAAUAGAAAACAGGUAAAAUGAAUCAGUGCAGCUAGUUUAUCUUUCCUGAUUUGGUUUGAAGUUAUUGUGUUAGCUGUCUUGUUGGCUCCUCUAAACAACAGUGUCCUGACGAGAGAGCACAUUUUCUACACCAGGUGAAAUUGCCCAUCAUUAGCUCAGUGUUAUGGAUGUAUCCAAAUAAAUGUCAUUAGAAAACAGCUUAAACAAAUGCAAAUGCACCUCUUUUGUUGUUAUUCUGGUUGCACUGUUUGAUGUGACUGUAAGUUAGCCGUAGUUGGCUAGCUAGAAAGCAAGGGAGAAGAACGUUGCUAGCCAGUAUGGAACAUUUAGAACGAACGACUGGGAUACGUCCAUAGAUACAGAACAAAAAGACUGAACGACUGGGUCGCGUCUCUGGCAACCGAACCGAUAGAACGAAUGACCAGGCGGCUUGGGUAGCAACCGUUGAUUUGUCUCAGGACUAUAUCUUGUGGAAGGAUUAAAUAAUAUGAAUAAAUUCAUUAAAAUAAAGUUAAUGAAAACAUGUCUAUCAUUUAUUUGAAUAUGUUGGUAAACCUUUGUAUAAAAGUGAUAGUUCCCUUGAAGCUGGUGUUUGGAGGAUAUAUUGGGAUGAUUUGCUGGGCCUAACAACACCCGUGCCAAUAUAUCCUCCAAACACUGGCUUCUCUGGCAUGAUCACUAAAAUGUUGAUACAUUCUCCUGUCUCUGAAGAGUCCAUGGUUCACUGUGUAAUGUUGACACAUUCUCCUGUCUCUGAAGAGUCCAUUGUUCACUGUGUAAUGUUGACACAUUCUCCUGUCUCUGAAGAGUCCAUUGUUCCCUGUGUAAUGUUGACACAUUCUCCUGUCUCUGAAGAGUCCAUGGUUUACUGUGUAAUGUUGAUACAUUCUCUAUUAAAAUACAAAGUUAAUAUUGGCUCGUCAUUG
rnacentral:lncRNA from 1 species